UACGGAGGGGGCUAGCGUUGUUCGGAAUUACUGGGCGUAAAGCGCACGUAGGCGGAUCAGUAAGUUAGAGGUGAAAGCCCAGGGCUCAACCCUGGAACUGCCUUUGAUACUGCUAGUCUAGAGAUCGAGAGAGGUGAGUGGAAUUCCGAGUGUAGAGGUGAAAUUCGUAGAUAUUCGGAGGAACACCAGUGGCGAAGGCGGCUCACUGGCUCGAUACUGACGCUGAGGUGCGAAAGCGUGGGGGAGCAAACAGG
rnacentral:rRNA from 1 species